rnacentral:rRNA from 1 species
UAGGGAAUAUUAGUAAUGGGCGAAAGCCUGAACUAGCAACGCCGCGUGUGCGAAGAAGGCCUUCGGGUUGUAAAGCACUUUUUGAGAGGAUGAGGAAGGACGGUACUCUCAGAAUAAGUCUCGGCUAACUACGUGCCAGCAGCCGCGGUAACACGUAGGAGGCGAACGUUAUCCGGAUUUACUGGGCGUAAAGCGCGUGUAGGUGGUUUGGUAAGUAGGGCGUGAAAGCUCCUGGCUCAACUGGGAGAGGCCGUUCUAAACUGCCGACCUGAGGAUGGUAGGGGGGAGUUGAAUUCCGGGUGUAGCGGUGGAAUGCGCAGAUAUCCGGAGGAACACCAGUGGCGAAAGCGGCCUCCUGGACCAUUCCUGACACUCAGACGCGAAAGCUAGGGUAGCAAACGG